rnacentral:rRNA from 1 species
GGCAGCCGCCGCGGUAACACCGGCGGCCCGAGUGGUGAUCGUGAUUAUUGGGUCUAAAGGGUCCGUAGCCGGUUUGGUCAGUCCUCCGGGAAAUCUGAUAGCUCAACUAUUAGGCUUUCGGGGGAUACUGCCAGACUUGGAACCGGGAGGGGUAAGAGGUACUACAGGGGUAGGAGUGAAAUCUUGUAAUCCCUGUGGGACCACCUGUGGCGAAGGCGUCUUACCAGAACGGGUUCGACGGUGAGGGACGAAAGCUGGGGGCACGAACCGGAUUAGAUACCCGGGUAGUCCCAGCCGUAAACGAUGCUCGCUAGGUGUCAGGCAUGGCGCGACCGUGUCUGGUGCCGCAGGGAAGCCGUGAAGCGAGCCACCUGGGAAGUACGGCCGCAAGGCUGAAACUUAAAGGAAUUGGCGGGGAGCACAACAACGGGUGGAGCCUGCGGUUUAAUUGGACUCAACGCCGGACAACUCACCGGGGGCGACAGCAAUAUGUAGGCCAAGCUGAAGACUUUGCCUGAAUCGCUGAGAGGUGGUGCAUGG